GUGGCUGUAGUUCAGUGGUAGAGUGUUCACCUCAUAUGUGGAAGGCACUGGGUUUGAUCCUCAGCACCACA
rfam:Ictidomys tridecemlineatus contig079200, whole genome shotgun sequence.